AAACUAUUGCGUUCACCCCGAAAGCCAGCACGCAAGAUUUCCAAGAUCCCAUUCAAGGUUCUUGAUGCCCCAGAGUUGCAGGAUGACUUCUACCUCAACCUGGUGGACUGGUCAGCUGGAAAUCUCUUGAGUGUUGGUUUGGGGGCCUGUGUUUACCUGUGGAGUGCCUGUACCAGUCAGGUGACGCGGUUGUGUGACUUAUCAGUGGAUGGUGACUCUGUUACAUCAGUGUGCUGGAAUGAGAGGGGAAGUUUGGUGGCUGUAGGGACCCAUAAAGGAUUUGUCCAGAUUUGGGACGCAGCUGGAGGGAGGAAGCUGACCAGUUUGGAGGGACAUUCAGCACGCGUAGGAGCGCUUGCGUGGAAUGGAGAGCAGCUGUCAUCGGGUAGCCGGGACAGAGUGAUUCUGCAGAGGGACGUGAGGACACCUCCUCCUGUGGAGAGACGCCUCCAGGGCCACAGGCAGGAAGUGUGUGGCCUCAAGUGGUCACCUGACCACCAGCACCUCGCCUCUGGAGGGAACGAUAACAAGGCCAUCCAAGAUGUAGAUGAGUUUGUUUCUUCAUC